rnacentral:tRNA from 1 species
GCCCCUGUAGCUCAGUGGUAGAGCACGUCCAUGGUAAGGACGGGGUCAUCAGUUCAAGUCUGAUUAGGGGCUCCA